rnacentral:rRNA from 1 species
AUUGAACGCUGGAGGCGUGCUUAACACAUGCAAGUCGUGCGAGAAAGGGGCUUCGGUCCUGAGUAGAGCGGCGCACGGGUGAGUAACGCGUGGGUGAUCUCCCUUGGUGAUCGGGAUAACAGCGGGAAACUGCUGCUAAUACUGAAUAAUCUUCAUGUUUAACUUCAUGGGGUAAAGGUGGCCUCUGCUUGCAAGCUACCACACCGAGAUGAGCCCGCGUCUCAUUAGCUAGUUGGUAGGGUAAUGGCCUACCAAGGCUACGAUGAGUAGCUGGUCUGAGAGGAUGACCAGCCACACUGGGACUGGAACACGGCCCAGACUCCUACGGGAGGCAGCAGUGGGGAAUAUUGCGCAAUGGGCGAAAGCCUGACGCAGCGACGCCUCGUGAGGGAUGAAGGUCUUCGGAUCGUAAACCUCUGUCAAGAGGGAAGAAACCAUUGGAGUCGAAUAGGCUUCUUUGCUGACGGUACCUCAAAAGGAAGCACCGGCUAACUCCGUG